AGCCUAUAGGCCCAACUGCCAGGAGACGCCCAACUGUCAGCGCGAGGCCAAGGAUGGACCGGAAGGAACAGCCUCUCCUCAGCCCGCCAGGCCCCCUGUCCACCAGGCCCCGCCCUCUAUCCACCAGCCCUGCCAGCCGAGAGGGUGACUAAAAACAGAGCUGAUGUUAAAGAAGAUGGACUGCAAAGGAAAUGAAGAAAACUGAAAUGAGACAUGCACCUUGUGAAUUCAGAAUUUCACGUAAUUUUCUGAGAAAGAAAUUGCAUGCAAGGUGGGCGAGGAAAGAGAAGAUGGAUAACUUGUCAAAUAAAAACCUGGCCUUGA